rnacentral:misc_RNA from 1 species
UUGAUUCUUUUUUGAUUCAGACACAAACACCGGACAGCAUAAAUGCGGCAGGUCAAGAGCGACUCUGCCGAAGCACGUCUCGCUUCCACAGGUUUGAAGGGUCUAGGUCUUGCGACCUUUCAUUAAUGAUCCCUCCGCAGGUUCACCUACGGAGA